AACGAACGCUGGCGGCAGGCUUAACACAUGCAAGUCGAACGCCCCGCAAGGGGAGUGGCAGACGGGUGAGUAACGCGUGGGAAUCUACCCAGUUCUACGGAACAACACAGGGAAACUUGUGCUAAUACCGUAUACGCCCUACGGGGGAAAGAUUUAUCGGAAUUGGAUGAGCCCGCGUUGGAUUAGCUAGUUGGUGGGGUAAUGGCCUACCAAGGCGACGAUCCAUAGCUGGUCUGAGAGGAUGAUCAGCCACACUGGGACUGAGACACGGCCCAGACUCCUACGGGAGGCAGCAGUGGGGAAUAUUGGACAAUGGGCGCAAGCCUGAUCCAGCCAUGCCGCGUGAGUGAUGAAGGCCUUAGGGUUGUAAAGCUCUUUCAGUAGGGACGAUAAUGACGGUACCUACAGAAGAAGCCCCGGCUAACUUCGUGCCAGCCGCCGCGGUAACAC
rnacentral:rRNA from 1 species